GCAGAGGGCCGGAUGGCCGCGUUGGAGGGGCAACCCUCCCGCGAGGAAAGUCCGGACUCCCUAAAGCAACGGUGCCGGGUAACGCCCGGGCAGGGAAACCUGACGGAAAGCGCCACAGAAAACAGACCGCCCUGUCGAACCAGAGGUUCGCCGAAAGUUCAUUUGACAGGGUAAGGGUGAAACGGUGGAGUAAGAGCCCACCGCGCCCCUGGCAACAGGGGCGGCACGGCAAGCCCCACCGGGAGCAAUGCCAAAUAGGACCCCCGCGCGGGCCGGUCGGGCAACCGAUACCGCCGCUAGGUAUGCUUUAACCGAGAGGGGUCGGGUUGGCAGCUAGAGGCGCCUGGCAACAGGCGCCCCAGAUGAAUGGUCAUCGAACCUUGGCCUUCGGGGCAGGGGGAACAAGAUCCGGCUUAUAGGCCCUCUGCGCAA
rnacentral:RNase_P_RNA from 3 species